rnacentral:rRNA from 1 species
AUUGAACGCUGGCGGCAUGCUUUACACAUGCAAGUCGAACGGCAGCGCGGGCUUCGGCCUGGCGGCGAGUGGCGAACGGGUGAGUAAUACAUCGGAACGUGCCCAGUAGUGGGGGAUAGCUCGGCGAAAACCGGAUUAAUACCGCAUACGACCUGAGGGUGAAAGCGGGGGAUCUUCGGACCUCGCGCUAUUGGAGCGGCCGAGGGCAGAUUAGCUAGUUGGUGGGGUAAAGGCCUACCAAGGCGACGAUCUGUAGCUGGUCUGAGAGGACGACCAGCCACACUGGGACUGAGACACGGCCCAGACUCCUACGGGAGGCAGCAGUGGGGAAUUUUGGACAAUGGGCGAAAGCCUGAUCCAGCAAUGCCGCGUGUGUGAUGAAGGCCUUCGGGUUGUAAAGCACUUUUGGCGGGAACGAAAAGGACUGUGCCAAUACCACGGUUCGAUGACGGUACCCGCAGAAUAAGCACCGGCUAACUACGUG